rnacentral:rRNA from 1 species
GACGAACGCUGGCGGCGUGCUUAACACAUGCAAGUCGAACGGGUCUGCCCUGUAUUUUGCGGGGUGGGUCAGUGGCGAACGGGUGAGUAACACGUGAGUAACCUGCCCCUCACUUCUGGAUAACCGCUUGAAAGGGUGGCUAAUACGGGGUGUUCUGGCUGUGCCGCAUGGUGUGGCUGGGAAAGAUUCACUUUUGUGGUGUUUUGGUGGGGGAUGGGCUCGCGGCCUAUCAGCUUGUUGGUGGGGGGAUGGCCUGCCAAGGCUUUGACGGGUAGCCGGCCUGAGAGGGUGGGCGGUCACACUGGGGCUGAGAUACGGCCCAGACUCCUGCGGGAGGCAGCAGUGGGGGGUAUUGCACAAUGGGCGGAAGCCUGAUGCAGCGACGUCGCGUGAGGGAUGGAGGCCUUCGGGUUGUGAACCUCUUUCGCCGGUGAAGAAGGUCCUGCUCUUUGUGGUGGGGUUGACGGUAGCCGGGUUAUGAAGCGCCGGCUAACUACGUG